AUGGAAAUAUUAUAAUCAACCAUUAUUAAAUAGUUAAAUUAAUAAAUAACUCUGCUAUUGAAGGACCAAUCGCAAGACGAGAAGGAUUUGAAAAAAAAAAAUAAGGAUUGACCGACUUGGGCAGUAUAAUAUAAGGUUGAAGUUACAAUUUUUUAUAUUUUACUGAUCGCUGCUCCUGUCAUUUUGUUGAACUGCUGAGUUUUUUGUGUUAUUUUUUAUGGAAGCUUCAAUCAGGUUGCUUGUCAGUCGUCUUUCAAAUAAAGAUUGAAAUAAAGAGAG
rnacentral:sRNA from 1 species